GAUCCUGGCUCAGGAUGAACGCUAGCGGCAGGCUAACACAUGCAAGUCGAGGGCAGCGUGGAGUAGCAAUACUCUGACGGCGACCGGCGAAAGGGUGAGUAACGCGUGAGCAACAUGCCCGUAGUUGGGGGAUAGUCGAUGGAAACGUCGCGUAAUACCCCGUAACAACAGAGGCCGCAUGACCUUUGUUUAAGAGAUUUAUUGUCUACGGAUUGGCUCGCGUACCAUUAGCUAGUUGGCGGGGUAACGGCCCACCAAGGCGACGAUGGUUAGGGGUUCUGAGAGGAAGGUCCCCCCACAUUGGAACUGAGACACGGUCCAGACUCCUACGGGAGGCAGCAGUGAGGAAUAUUGGUCAAUGGCCGAGAGGCUGAACCAGCCAUGCCGCGUGCGGGAUGACGGCCCUAUGGGUUGUAAACCGCUUUUGUUGGGGAGCAAUAAGGUUCACGUGUGGACUGAUGAGAGUACCCAGCGAAUAAGCAUCGGCUAACUCCGUGCCAGCCGCAGC
rnacentral:rRNA from 1 species